UACCAGCACCCCGAGUGGUCGGGACGUUUUAUUGGGCCUAAAGCAUCCGUAGCCGGUUCUACAAGUCUUCCGUUAAAUCCACCUGCUUAACAGAUGGGCUGCGGAAGAUACUAUAGAGCUAGGAGGCGGGAGAGGCAAGCGGUACUCGAUGGGUAGGGGUAAAAUCCGUUGAUCCAUUGAAGACCACCAGUGGCGAAGGCGGCUUGCCAGAACGCGCUCGGACGGUGAGGGAUGAAAGCUGGGGGAGCAAACCGG
rnacentral:rRNA from 1 species